rnacentral:rRNA from 1 species
CCUACGGGUGGCAGCAGUCGAGAAUCAUUCACAUUGGGGGAAACCCUGAUGGUGCGACGCCGCGUGGGGGCAUGAAGGUCUUCGGAUUGUAAACCCCUGUCAUGUGGGAGCAAAUUAAAACGAUAGUACCACCACUGGAAGAGACGGCUAACUCUGUUCCAGCAGCCGCGGUAAUACAGAGGUCUCAAGCGUUGUUCGGAAUCACGGGGCGUAAAGCGUGCGUAGGCUGUUUAGAAAGUCGUGGGUGAAAGGCGGGGGCUCAACCCGCGGACGGCCCAUGAUACUGCGAGACGAGAGUAAAGGAGGGGGAGCCGGAAUUCUCGGUGUAGCAGUGAAAUGCGUAGAUAUCGAGAGGAACACUCGUGGCGAAGGCGGGUUCCUGGACAUUAACUGACGCUGAGGCACGAAGGCCAGGGGAGCGAAAGGGAUUAGAUACCCUGGUAGUC